rnacentral:rRNA from 1 species
UACGUAGGGCGCAAGCGUUGUCCGGAAUUAUUGGGCGUAAAGAGCUCGUAGGCGGCCAGUUGCGUCUGCUGUGAAAUCCCGGGGCUCAACCCCGGGCGUGCAGUGGAUACGGGCUGGCUGGAGGCAGGCAGGGGAGAACGGAAUUCCCGGUGUAGCGGUGAAAUGCGCAGAUAUCGGGAGGAACACCGGUGGCGAAGGCGGUUCUCUGGGCCUGUACUGACGCUGAGGAGCGAAAGCGUGGGGAGCAAAAGGG